rnacentral:rRNA from 1 species
UGAGGAAUCUUCCGCAAUGGGCGCAAGCCUGACGGAGCGACGCCGCGUGUGGGAUGAAGUCUUUCGGGAUGUAAACCACUGUUCUAGAGGGAAGAGAACGGACGGUACCUCUAGAGAAAGCCCCGGCUAACUACGUGCCAGCAGCCGCGGUAAUACGUAGGGGGCAAGCGUUACCCGGAUUCACUGGGCGUAAAGCGCGUGUAGGCGGCUGGCCAAGCGUGGUGUGAAAUCUCCGGGCUCAACCCGGAAACUGCACUGCGAACUGGCCUGGCUGGAGUGCAGGAGAGGGAUGCGGAAUUCACGGUGUAGCGGUGAAAUGCGUAGAUAUCGUGAGGAACACCAGUGGCGAAGGCGGCAUCCUGGCCUGUAACUGACGCUGAGACGCGAAAGCGUGGGGAGCGAACCGGAUUAGAUACCCCCGUAGUCC